rnacentral:rRNA from 1 species
CUCAGGAUGAACGCUAGCGGCAGGCCUAACACAUGCAAGUCGAGGGGCAGCACGUCUUCGGAUGGUGGCGACCGGCGCACGGAUGCGUAACGCGUAUGCAACCUACCUCUUACAGUGGGAUAGCCCAGAGAAAUUUGGAUUAAUACCGCAUAGUAUACAGAUUCAGCAUUGGGGCUGUAUUAAACAUUUAUGGGUAAGAGAUGGGCAUGCGUUCUAUUAGUUAGUUGGAGUGGUAACGGCACCCCCAAGACAGCGAUAGAUAGGGGCCCUGAGAGGGGGAUCCCCCACACUGGUACUGAGACACGGACCAGACUCCUACGGGAGGCAGCAGUGAGGAAUAUUGGACAAUGGGCGAGAGCCUGAUCCAGCCAUGCCGCGUGCAGGAAGACGGCCCUAUGGGUUGUAAACUGCUUUUGUACGGGAAGAAACACCCCCUCGUGAGGGGGCUUGACGGUACCGUAAGAAUAAGGAUCGGCUAACUCCGUG